rnacentral:rRNA from 1 species
UAACACGUGGGCAAUCUGACCGGAAGUGGGGAAUAACGAACCGAAAGGUUCGCUAAUACCGCAUGGUCUUGAGAAAGUAAAGGUCUUUCUAACGAGAGAUCGCUUUCGGAGGAGCCUGCGAUCGAUCAGGUAGUUGGUGAGGUAACGGCUCACCAAGCCGAUGACCGAUAGCUGAUCUGAGAGGAUGACCAGCCACACUGGGACUGCGAGACGGCCCAG